rnacentral:rRNA from 1 species
GACGAACGCUGGCGGCGUGCUUAACACAUGCAAGUCGAACGGUAAGGCCCUUCGGGGUACACGAGUGGCGAACGGGUGAGUAACACGUGGGUGAUCUGCCCUGCACUUCGGGAUAAGCCUGGGAAACUGGGUCUAAUACCGGAUAGGACCACUGCCUGCAUGGGUGGUGGUGGAAAGCUUUUGCGGUGUGGGAUGGGCCCGCGGCCUAUCAGCUUGUUGGUGGGGUGAUGGCCUACCAAGGGGACGACGGGUAGCAGGCGUGAGAGGGUGACCGGCCACACUGGGAAUGAGAUACGGCCCAGACUCCGACGGGAGGCAGCAGUGGGGAAUAUUGCACAAUGGGCGCAAGCCUGAUGCAGCGACGCCGCGUGAGGGAUGACGGCCUUCGGGUUGCAAACCUCUUUCAGCACCGACGAAGCGUAAGUGACGGUAGGUGCAGAAGAAGCACCGGCUAACUACGUGCCAGCCGCCGCAGUAA